UGGGAUUGUAGCUCAGUGGACUAGAGCACGUGGCUACGAACCACGGUGUCGGGGGUUCGAAUCCCUCCUUUCCCGU
rnacentral:tRNA from 1 species